GCACUGCUGAGGAAUCCUACACUAGGACGAAACGGCAGUCCAGUGC
rnacentral:hammerhead_ribozyme from 1 species